rnacentral:rRNA from 1 species
UACAGAGGGUGCAAGCGUUGUUCGGAAUUACUGGGCGUAAAGCGCGUGUAGGCGGUCUAGCAAGUCGGGUGUGAAAUCCCUUGGCUUAACCAAGGGACUGCAUUCGAAACUACUAAACUUGAGUAUCGGAGGGGGUGGCGGAAUUCCCGGUGUAGAGGUGAAAUUCGUAGAUAUCGGGAGGAACACCUGUGGCGAAGGCGGCCACCUGGACGGAUACUGACGCUGAGACGCGACAGCGUGGGGAGCAAACAGG